GGCCGUGUGGCGAAAUGGCAUCGCGUCUGACUACGAUUCUAUAAAUUUGCCAUCAGGAGAUUGCAGGUUCGACCCCUGUCUCGGUCA